CCUACGGGAGGCAGCAGUAGGGAAUCUUCCACAAUGGGCGAAAGCCUGAUGGAGCAACGCCGCGUGGGUGAAGAAGGUCUUCGGAUCGUAAAACCCUGUUGUUAGAGAAGAAAGUGCGUGAGAGUAACUGUUCACGUUUCGACGGUAUCUAACCAGAAAGCCACGGCUAACUACGUGCCAGCAGCCGCGGUAAUACGUAGGUGGCAAGCGUUAUCCGGAUUUAUUGGGCGUAAAGGGAACGCAGGCGGUCUUUUAAGUCUGAUGUGAAAGCCUUGGGCUUAACCGGAGUAGUGCAUUGGAAACUGUGAGACUAGAGUGCAGAAGAGGAGAGUGGAACUCCAUGUGUAGCGGUGAAAUGCGUAGAUAUAUGGAAGAACACCAGUGGCGAAAGCGGCUCUCUGGUCUGUAACUGACGCUGAGGUUCGAAAGCGUGGGUAGCAAACAGGAUUAGAUACCCGUGUAGUC
rnacentral:rRNA from 1 species